CCUACGGGGUGCUGCAGUGGGGAAUAUUGCACAAUGGGCGCAAGCCUGAUGCAGCCAUGCCGCGUGUGUGAAGAAGGCCUUCGGGUUGUAAAGCACUUUCAGCGGGGAGGAAGGCGGUGAGGUUAAUAACCUCAUCGAUUGACGUUACCCGCAGAAGAAGCACCGGCUAACUCCGUGCCAGCAGCCACGGUAAUACGGAGGGUGCAAGCGUUAAUCGGAAUUACUGGGCGUAAAGCGCACGCAGGCGGUCUGUCAAGUCGGAUGUGAAAUCCCCGGGCUCAACCUGGGAACUGCAUUCGAAACUGGCAGGCUAGAGUCUUGUAGAGGGGGGUAGAAUUCCAGGUGUAGCGGUGAAAUGCGUAGAGAUCUGGAGGAAUACCGGUGGCGAAGGCGGCCCCCUGGACAAAGACUGACGCUCAGGUGCGAAAGCGUGGGGAGCAAACAGGAUUAGAUACCCUAGUAGUC
rnacentral:rRNA from 1 species